rnacentral:hammerhead_ribozyme from 1 species
ACACUGCUGAGGAGUCCCAUACUAGAACGAGAUGACCAUCCAGUAU